AAGAAAAACACUCCCUCUUGGAGAGUUCACCAACACAUUUAUAAUCAUUUUCCCAUUCCGUGCUGUCCACUUAUCCAUCAUAAUGGAACAACCAAACUUCUCAAUAAUUUGGUCUACCUUCUUCACCUCCUUUUUAAGAUAGUUACUCUAACUUCAUGAUAACUAGGAGGCUUCAUCCCCGGGCCAUAUUGUCCUACAGCCUCAAUAAAUUUAUCAAAAGUUUUG
rnacentral:lncRNA from 1 species